UAGGGAAUCUUCCGCAAUGGGCGAAAGCCUGACGGAGCAACGCCGCGUGAGUGAUGAAGGUCUUCGGAUCGUAAAACUCUGUUAUUAGGGAAGAACAAAUGUGCAAGUAACUAUGCACGUCUUGACGGUACCUAAUUAGAAAGCCACGGCUAACUACGUGCCAGCAGCCGCGGUAAUACGUAGGUGGCAAGCGUUAUCCGGCAUUAUUGGGCGUAAAGCGCGCGUAGGCGGUUUUUUAAGUCUGAUGUGAAAGCCCACGGCUCAACCGUAGAAGUUCAGUGGAGACUGGAUAACUUGAGUGCAGAAGAGGAAAGUGGAAUUCCAUGUGUAGCGGUGAAAUGCGCAGAGAUGUGGAGGAACACCAGUGGCGAAGGCGACUUUCUGGUCUGUAACUGACGCUGAUGUGCGAAAGCGUGGGAAUCGAACAGG
rnacentral:rRNA from 1 species